CGGGGAGCCAUCCCAAGGGCCACAGGCAGGCUGGGCUUCCCGGACUCCUCAGACUCCCUCUCCCCAGGGAGUGACGGGGAGGGACCAGUGCUGUUCUGCCCCCACCCGUGGAGUCAGCCUGCCUCCAAGGAAACCCGAGGAGGGGGCAGAGGCGUCCCUAUGGCAGUAACAAAUGUCCUGAAGGACCCAAAUAGAGGCUGAGAUCUAGAGUGACGGGCUAGGGCAGGUGGUAACCAAGCCAGGAAUGGGACGAGAUGCCAGAACCAGCAGGUCUUUGCAGAUGCAAGUGAAGGAUCUUGAGCUGACAUCAUCCUGGCUUUAGGGUGAGCCUUAAAUCCAAUGAUCGGCGUCCAUAUAAGAAGUGGGAAGACAGAGAGGGAAAGCCAUGUGAAGGUGGAGGCAGGACAAGCCAAGGAAUGCCAGGAGCUGCCAGGAGCCACCAGGAGCAGGAAGAAGUGGGGAGGAUCCUGCCCCAGAGCCUUUGGCGGCAGCGGCCCUGCCGGCACCUGGACAUUUGGCCUCCAGAACUGGAA
rnacentral:lncRNA from 1 species